rnacentral:rRNA from 1 species
CCUACGGGUGGCAGCAGUGGGGAAUCUUGCACAAUGGGGGAAACCCUGAUGCAGCGACGCCGCGUGAGUGAAGAAGUACUUCGGUAUGUAAAGCUCUAUCAGCAGGGAAGAAAAUGCCGGUACCUGAGUAAGAAGCUCCGGCUAACUACGUGACAGCAGCCGCGGUAAUACGUAGGGGGCAAGCGUUCUCCGGUUUUACUGGGUGUAAAGGGAGCGUAGACGGCUGUGCAAGUCUGGAGUGAAAGGCGGGGGCUCAACCCCCGGACGGCACUGGCAACUGUACGGCUUGAGUGCAGGAGAGGUAAGUGGAAUUCCUAGUGUAGCGGUGAAAUGCGUAGAGAUUAGGAGGAACACCAGUGGCGAAGGCGGCUUACUGGACUGUAACUGACGUUGAGGCGCGAAAGCGUGGGGAGCAAACAGGAUUAGAUACCCGAGUAGUC